CCUUGACCCUGUUGGCCAGGUAGCAGGGCGCAUUCCCAUCCCACAGCAAGAUCAAGUGGUCGACAGCCAAGUCAGGGGUCGUGGAGCUGCCCGACAGAGUCCGGGAGCAGUACCCUCUGUGGACUGGGGGCAGGAAGGCCUGCUUCCUCCCGCCCAGCUGGAGCGCGCGGCUGGGGUGAUGCGCGCGCGCCCGCCGCUCACCGCCGGCGGCCCUGGGCGGCCGACGACGGGAGGGCGCGACGCCGGGGCUGAGCCUCCCAGUCGCCUCAGAGGGUAACACACCCGUCCGCCUCGAGUAAAUGCAGAUUUCCAGAGCAGACUCCCGGGACCGACGGCGUUCUCACCAGGAAGAACCACUGGCGCUGGGAGUUCCCUCAUGUAGCACCAGCUCCCUGUCCGGUGACAAGACAUGUUCAGUAGAUACUUCUGAAUUAAAUGGAGUCUUCUGGGACUUCCCUGGUGGCGCAGUUGUUAAGAAUCUGCCUGCCAAGGCAGGGACACAGGUUCGAGCCCUGGUCCAGGAAGAU